rnacentral:rRNA from 1 species
UACGGGGGGGUGCGAGCGUUGUCCGGAAUCACUGGGCGUAAAGGGCGCGUAGGUGGCCUGAUAAGGGUGUGGUGAAAGUCCGGGGGCUCAACCCCGGAUCUGCCGUGCCGACUGUUGGGCUGGAGUACUGUAGGGGCAGGCGGAAUUCCGGGUGUAGCGGUGGAAUGCGUAGAGAUCCGGAGGAAGACCGGUGGCGAAGGCGGCCUGCUGGGCAGUUACUGACACUGAGGCGCGACAGCGUGGGGGAGCAAACAGG